AAUAGAUACCCGGGUAGUCCACCCCGUAAACGUUGGAACUAGUUGUGGGGUCCUUUCCACGGAUUCCGUGACGCAGCUAACGCAUUAAGUUCCCCGCCUGGGAGUACGGCCGCAAGGCUAAAACUCAAAGGAAUUGACGGGGACCCGCACAAGCGGCGGAGCAUGCGGAUUAAUUCGAUGCAACGCGAAGAACCUUACCAAGGCUUGACAUACACCGGAAACGGCCAGAGAUGGUCGCCCCGCAAGGUCGGUGUACAGGUGGUGCAUGGUUGUCGUCAGCUCGUGUCGUGAGAUGUUGGGUUAAGUCCCGCAACGAGCGCAACCCUCGUUCUAUGUUGCCAGCACGUGAUGGUGGGAACUCAUGGGAUACUGCCGGGGUCAACUCGGAGGAAGGUGGGGAUGACGUCAAAUCAUCAUGCCCCUUAUGUCUUGGGCUUCACGCAUGCUACAAUGGCCGGUACAAAGGGCUGCAAUACCGUGAGGUGGAGCGAAUCCCAAAAGCCGGUCCCAGUUCGGAUUGAGGUCUGCAACUCGACCUCAUG
rnacentral:rRNA from 1 species